rnacentral:rRNA from 1 species
CACGUAGGGGGCAAGCGUUGUCCGGAAUUAUUGGGCGUAAAGAGCUCGUAGGCGGCUCGGUAAGUCAGGUGUCAAAUCCUCAGGCUCAACCUGGGGCUCCACCUGAUACUGCUGUGGCUAGAGUCCGGUAGGGGAGCGUGGAAUUCCUGGUGUAGCGGUGGAAUGCGUAGAGAUCCGGAAGAACACCGGUGGCGAAGGCGGCCUGCUGGGCGGCGACUGACGCUGAGGCGCGACAGCGUGGGGAGCAAACAGG